UGGGGAAUUUUGCACAAUGGGGGAAACCCUGAUGCAGCGACGCCGCGUGAUUUAGAGGGCCUUCGGGUUGUAAAAAUCUUUUCUAUGGGAAGAAAAUGACAGUACCAUAGGAAUAAGGACCGGCUAAUUACGUGCCAGCAGCCGCGGUAAUACGUAAGGUCCGAGCGUUGUCCGGAAUCAUUGGGCGUAAAGGGUACGUAGGCGGGUAAGCAAGUUAGAAGUGAAAUCCUAUAGCUCAACUAUAGUAAGCUUUUAAAACUGCUCAUCUUGAGGUAUGGAAGGGAAAGUGGAAUUCCUAGUGUAGCGGUGAAAUGCGCAGAUAUUAGGAGGAAUACCGGUGGCGAAGGCGACUUUCUGGCCAUAACCUGACGCUGAGGUACGAAAGCGUGGGUAGCAAACAGG
rnacentral:rRNA from 1 species